rnacentral:rRNA from 1 species
AGAGUUUGAUCAUGGCUCAGGAUGAACGCUGGCGGCGUGCUUAACACAUGCAAGUCGAACGGAGUAUUGAGAAUGAAGUUUUCGGAUGGAUUUUUUAAUACUUAGUGGCGGACGGGUGAGUAACGCGUGGGUAACCUGCCUCACACAGGGGGAUAACAGUUGGAAACGACUGUUAAUACCGCAUAAGACCACAGUACCGCAUGGUACAGGGGUAAAAACUCCGGUGGUGUGAGAUGGACCCGCGUCUGAUUAGUUAGUUGGCGGGGUAACGGCCCACCAAGACGACGAUCAGUAGCCGAUCUGAGAGGAUGACCGGCCACAUUGGGACUGAGACACGGCCCAAACUCCUACGGGAGGCAGCAGUGGGGAAUAUUGCACAAUGGGGGAAACUCUGAUGCAGCGACGCCGCGUGAGUGAAGAAGUAUUUCGGUAUGUAAAGCUCUAUCAGCAGGGAAGAAAAUGACGGUAUCUGAGUAAGAAGCUCUGGCUAACUACGUGCUAGCAGCUGCGGUAAUACGUAGGGGGCAAGCGUUAUUCGGAUUUACUGGGUGUAAAGGGAGCGCAGACGGCGCAGCAAGUCUGAAGUGAAAGCUCGGGGCUUAACUCCGGGACUGCUUUGGAAACUGCUGUGCUUGAGUAUCGGAGGGGGCAGGCGGAAUUCYCAGUGUAGCGGUGAAAUGCGUAGAUAUUGGGAAGAACACYAGUGGCGAAGGCGGYSUGCUGGACGAUAAUCUGACGUUGAGGGCUCGAAGGGCGUGGGGAGCAAACAGGAUUAGAUACYCUGGUAGUCYACGCGGUAAACGAUGAAUACUAGGUGUUGGCAUCCAAAGGAUGUCGGUGCCGGCGCAAACGCAUUAAGUAUUCCACCUGGGGAGUACGUUCGCAAGAAUGAAACUCAAAGGAAUUGACGGGGACCCGCACAAGCAGUGGAGCAUGUGGUUUAAUUCGAAGCAACGCGAAGAACCUUACCAGGUCUUGACAUGGAGAUGACCGGCUGGUAACGCAGCCUUUCCUUCGGGACAUCUCACACAGGUGGUGCAUGGUUGUCGUCAGCUCGUGUCGUGAGAUGUUGGGUUAAGUCCCGCAACGAGCGCAACCCUUAUUGCCAGUAGCCAGCAGGUGAAGCUGGGCACUCUGGCGAGACUGCCCGGGAUAACCGGGAGGAAGGUGGGGAUGACGUCAAAUCAUCAUGCCCCUUAUGACCUGGGCUACACACGUACUACAAUGGCAAUUAACAAAGAGAAGCAAGACGGUGACGUGGAGCGAAUCUCAAAAAAUUGUCCCAGUUCAGAUUGCGGGCUGCAACUCGCCUGCAUGAAGUCGGAAUUGCUAGUAAUCGCGGAUCAGCAUGCCGCGGUGAAUACGUUCCCGGGCCUUGUACACACCGCCCGUCACACCAUGGGAGUCGGUAACACCCGAAGUCGGUAGUCUAACAGCAAUGAGGACGCCGCCGAAGGUGGGAUUGAUGACUGGGGUGAAGUCGUAACAAGGUAACCGUA